rnacentral:rRNA from 1 species
AUUGAACGCUGGCGGCAUGCUUUACACAUGCAAGUCGAACGGUAACAGGCCGCAAGGUGCUGUCGAGUGGCGAACGGGUGCGUAAUGCAUCGGAACGUGCCCAGUCGUGGGGGAUAACUACUCGCUAGAGUAGCUAAUACCGCAUACGAUCUAUGGAUGAAAGCGGGGGACCGUAAGGCCUCGCGCGAUUCGUGCGGUCGAUGUCAGAUUAGGUAGUUGGUGGGGUAAAGGCUCACCAAGCCAACGAUCUGUAGCUGGUCUGAGAGGACGACCAGCCACACUGGAACUGAGACACGGCCCAGACUCCUACGGGAGGCAGCAGUAGGGAAUUUUGGGCAAUGGGCGCAAGCCUGAUCCAGCAAUGCCGCGUGCAGGAAGAAGGCCUUCGGAUUGUAAACUGCUUUUAUACGGAACGAAACUGCUCUGAUUAAUACCCGGAGCUAAUGACGGUACCGAAAGAAUAAGCACCGGCUAACUACGUG